UUCGGAACCCGGCAGCACACGUGCCUGGCCACUGGACGAUAUUUCAGUGAAAUGCGUGAAGCUUCCUUUCCAAGGAAAGUGGGCUGUCUUCCCACUGCUUCGUGCAUAUUAACUUCUAUAUCAUGCUGUAGCUAAUUACGAAGUUCAUUGUUGCACUGUCACGGUCCACCUUACUGUGAUUACCAUUAUGACUAUCAUACUUUGUUUGUAUUGACCCGUCACGCUGCCCGCAUCUUGUUAUUUCUUUUUUUGCCAAGGACGCCUUUUAGGUAUUGCUCUUCUGACAGUGCAGAACAUUGUUUCCUCAUACAUGUAUAUUACCUGCAGGCAAAGAAGAAUUUCUGAUAGCAAAAUUUCCGGGCGAGGACAACGAUGUUGCGGUUGUACAUGACACCUGGGUCGACGGCAACUUUUGCUGGUGGCCCCCUGAGAAGAACUCCAGCAAGCUGAGGGCGAUGAUAAUUAUAGGGCAAACCCCAGCACUGAAUUGGCGAAGAGUUGAGUGUGCAGUAAUUGAGGGAUUUUGCUCUUACGAGGAUGCACGGAAGAAGCUGCCUGCAGCUGAGCACACAUCUGACUUGCAAUCUGAUGAUGAAGUCAGACGCACGCGCAAAAGGCCUCGUAGGUUCAUCAGCAGUGACGACUCUAGUAGUGACAGUGGGGAAGCACUAUUACCACCUCCCCCAGUCAUAGGAGAGACUAUCAAGCGUGUGCAUGAGAAAGGCCAUGGUCAA